UUUAAUCUAAUAAUAGACCAGCUCAUGCCAACGCCUGCCUCAGUGUUUCUAUCCGCUCGCUUCUGACCACCAUAUGGUAUGGUGGAAUCGGAUCAAGUCUAAUACAGUUAUAAUAAUAUUUUUUUUUUAUACAACUUAGAAUGGCAUACAAGAUGACGGCCCACCUGAUGGAAAGUGGCAGCUGUCACCUGUAGACAUGAGCAGUACCAUGGACAUAAGACUAUACUGUUUCACCCAUGAUACCCCUAUGCGUUGCCACUCCUGAGGACUCAGGUGUUAUUCCUCUGUACCUAGUAAAUUCACGCCAUAUCCCACCUUUCAAACCGAAACACUUGGCAUUAAUAACAAUUUAAAAGAAGUAAUGGAUUAAUUUAGAUAGGUAAAUAGUUUAUUUGCAUUACUUACAGCACACAAACAGUAAAAGACACAAAUGCAAAGUGAAAAAAGAUAAAAAAAGAUACAUGUAUAAAAGAUUAAAAAAAAAAAACAAAAACAAAACAAGAAUGCAUAAAAUUUUUAACAAUUUUUUUUCUUCACGCGUGUGCCACAGUAAUACAAAAUGGCCACAACUCGGCUUUUUGCUUUGCCCUAAAAAGAGCAAAACGCUGAUAUUCUGUUGUGGCCAAAAGUGAUCUGUGAAAUGUAACUAAAAAAAAAAAUUAUAAAAAUAAAAUAAAGAUCAAAUGCAUAGUGUGCGUUCGUUUUUAGGUAUUGUAUGUAUUUACUCUCCGAUACGUAAGACCUAUACCCAGAUGACGUCACUAUACAAGACAAUUCUUCAAGUGUUUCAGUCCAGCUUCGCAUGAGUGGAUAGAAUACAUACAUACAUAUAAUACAGCUUAUGUUUCUUGCUGAUAAUCGCUUUCUUUAAGUGUCUGUAAAAAUAAAAAAAAAAAAUAUCUUUCCUCAUUAAAAUUUUACUAUACAUUCUAUGCCAUAUACAGGGUGGAAGGGAGAGCUUGGCAAAAACUAAAACAGUGCACUCAGAUCGUUAUGCUGAAAUGAAAAUCAGUAAAAAUUUGUUCUGAUCAAUUUAAAAUAUAUUUUCCACUUUUUUUUUUCAUUUAAAAUCAUGUAAUCUAUAUAAAGGGGGGAAAGGGAUUGUUAGUGAUGAAGACUAAGAAUCCCAUUGCUAGCAAUAUACCCAACCAGGUCGACCUCCUCGCGGUUCCCCCUGGAAACUAUCAUGGUUAAUUCCUGAUGAAUUCAUCAUGAUGGGCUAACUGGCCUGUUUUCAUUCUCACCUAUCACCCUUCACUGGUGCUCCGCCAGCGUAUCCCGUUAGCGUAGGCGGGGUUACUAUUUCAUUUUCACUCAUCAAAAAAGAAUCUAUAUAAAGAAAAAAUAGUAUUUUAUAGUGAAAUACCGUGAAAUACUCAAAAACAGCAAUGUAAUAUACGUAUUAAAAUUCUACCGCGUCGCGCGGAACCAGCUGUGUAAAGUCAACGCCACGAGCGUACGGAAACUACCUACGAGGAAGCAGCACUGAGCGCGCGUUGUAGGCAUCACGCGUCGCGUGGAUCGUACAGUUUCAAAUACAUUGCGCGUCAUCGAAACUAACAAUCGGUAAUUAUAUGGCUGCGGUGCAUUUCCGGUGGGAAAACAACCAGCCAUCUGAUUCAGACCAUUGAUCUGAAUCAGCUGUUUUCGGUUUCGCCAACCUGUCGCUUCUACCCUGUAUAUUUGACUUGUUUCUAUAUCAUAGACUACCUUAUUAUCGCAUAUGGGGUCAGCUAAGCUGUUGCACGUCGACCCAUACGGAUCUUUUGUGCUCCCCCCUGCCUUAUACCAUCAUUUCAUAGAUCCUAUGUGUUACCCUAACGAUAUCCUGCGGUUUAAGAUAUCUGUAGUCCCCUGGCUCUGGCUCUGGAUAAGCCGUUCCCAGUAGAAUACCAUAGACUAACUUGUGCUUGCAAUUUGUAGGUUGUAUAAAGUUCUAAGCUGUAUAAAAAAAAAAACGACCACUUCUAGAUGACUUUGUACAAAAGUCGAUUGCUUAGGUACCUCUGUCCUGUUCGUGUUUCAACUGUGAAGCAGUUGUGUUUGCAUGGCUGUGUUUCGGUUUGAAGGGUGGGAUAUGGCGUGAAUUGACUGGGUACAGAGGAAUAACACCUGAGUCCUCAGGAAUGGCAACGCAUGGGUGGUAUCAUGGGCGAAACAGUAUACUCUGUUAUGUCCAUGGUACUGCUCAUGUCUAUAGGCGACGGUUACCACUUUCCAUCAGGUAGGCCGUCAGCUUGUUUGCUAUUCUAAGUUGUAUAAAAAAAAGGAUGCGUAAAGUUCUUUUAAAAAAUCACUAUUGGACUUAUGUAAAAUGAAAUAAUGAAUUUCUUGAUUUCAUAGAUUCCACUGUCUUUCUUGGAAUCACUGUUGAUAAUAAAACUCAGCGGGGUCCUCGCAUUCAAAGCCUUGCAACUGAAUCAAGUUGUUGGGCGUAUGCUGCACGCCGGGUCAAACAGUAUACUAAUAUCGAGACUGCCGGAUUUGUUUAUUAUACUUGCUUUCAUAGUAUACUGUCCUAUGGAAUAUUAUGGAUUAUGGGGUAAAGCAGCCGACAUCCAAAGCAUAUUUGUAUUACUAAAACGUGCCAUUCGCGCGAUUUAUUCUACGGCAAGUCGUGAAUCAUUAAAAGAGAAAUUUAAGGAAGCAAACAUUCUUCACCGUAGCUUCAUAAUACAUAUAUUUUAUACGCUAACAUUUUGUACAUAAGCAGGCAUCUUAAACUGUUUCAUAAAAACAGCGAUCUGAAUAAUCUUAACACUAGAUACAAAUACAAACUUGCUGUUGCGAAGUGUCGUUUAGAUAAAAUUAAUAGGUCUUUUAUGGGAAUGGGCAUUAAAUAUUAUAAUAAGAUACCGAAGGAUAUUUUGGAUCUACCUUUUAAUAAGUUUAAAACUGUUAUUAAAAACACUUAUUGAACAAAGCCAAUAAAAACAAUACACUAAACGAUCACUUGAAUGACAAACGUGCAUGGUGUUAGAUCAUGCAUGGGCUUUUAACGACAUAACAAAGUACAUUUGGGGGAGAAGGGAUUGUUAGUAAUGCGGAUUAUCAUUUCCAUUGCUAAUAAUAUACCCUAACAGGUCGACCUCCCCGUGGUCUCCCCUGGAAACCAUCGUGUUGAAUUCCAAGUGUAUUCAUCACGAUGGGCUAACUGACCUGCCUUUUCAUCCUCACCUAUCAUCUAUCACUGGUACUCCGUCAGCGUAUACCGUUAGCGCAGGCGGGGUUAUCAUUCCAUUAUCAUCCAUUAAAAAAAAAAACAGUACAUUUACAUAAAUAUAUGUGUACUUACAUAUAAUAUACAUAUGUUAACAUAGACUUAAAAUAAAGUAACGCUUGAAUUCCAUGUGGGGUCUUCUCAGCAGAUAACAAUUUUACGAAUCUUGCAGUACAUUAAAAAAAAAAUGACGAUUUAAAAGUGUUUGUAAACAAGUGUAUUUGCAUAAAGAUAAUUUGAAUUAAAAUAAAUAUAAAAGUUGUAAUUAUUGGAAAAAUUAAAUGCGGGGGUGGAGAGGUCAUGCCCUUGCGUGUUCAUCAUCAAACAAGACUGAUGGUGGAUAGUAAUGACCUCCCGCGUGUUUGUGCCGUGCGCGGAGACCCGUACGGAGGGAUGAAGGAGUCCUGGAGAUUGAGUGCAGCAGUGUGCCGGCGGUAGUUGUACGCUGCUCACAACACAUCUCUUCGGUCCGGAUUUCCUCUCAAACGGGCGGUCGUGGAGUAGCUAACCACGAUCAAUCGGCUGCGACAUCCCAUAAGCGGGCUGUCAAGCGAGGAUUGGCGAUUUGGGGAGGGGCAGUCGGCGCGGCACGGCGUCUUGAGGUAGGCCUAUGGUAUUGUCUCGUAUUGUAGGUAUCCUCUUGAUGCUUUGCUGCGUGCAGGUUCGCCUUCCUCUCAAAUUGCUGGGCCUAUACCGAGGGAGUAGCUCUGGCGAUCAUUCGUAGAACGAAUGACGUCCCCGAUGUGAGGGCUCCGUGGCGGGUGGAGAGCUCCUGAGGCGAAUAAAAUACAUACAACCUUAUGGAUUAUGAGACGAAUAAUCAAUCAACUGAACCAACAACACAGGCUGCGUCUUGGAAUGCGCCUAUACAUGCAGUACAAAGGGCUGCGUCUCAGGAUGCGCCGAACCUCCAGCCGCUCUUGGCUGCGUCCGAGGAUACGAUGAGGAAGGUAUGGAAUGCGCCAACCCGGGCAGCGUUUCAAAAUGCACCAUCCAUGUCGACGUCCAAGGAUGCGCCUUGUAAAGCAGCUCCCUCUGUUCAACCAAGGACGGCUAUCACAACGGUAGUACCGAGGAAGGACGCACUCCGAGAUGCGCCAACUAAGGCUGCGUCAGAGGAAGUGUCCUCCAAGGGAAAAUCAGUGGUGCUGACCGAGGUUGUAGCGGAGGAUCAACCUUCAGCGUCUGUGUUGGAAGCUGAAGCAGACAAUUCAACGAUGGGUAUGUUGUCUCUUGUAGAUGCCAAACAAUCAUCAUCGAAUCCAAUUCGGAAAUCGAUAACCAAACCGAUGUCGGCCUCAAUGAAGCGGCGUCUUAAAGCCAAGGCGAAGGCAGCAGCACAAUGCGUAGUAACAACAGAUGCUGCGAGGCAGAUCGCUGAGCCGAGCUCUCGCCCAGUGGAAACUGAACCAAUAUGGGAGGUAACAGUGGGCGAGACCCCACCACCUGCGGUUGUCGGUGUGAGUGCUGCGCUUUCCACAGGUAUAAACAAGCGCAGCAUGAAACCGAGAGGUCAGAAAAAAUCAUCUAACGACCAAUCAAAAUCUGAGCCGAGGGCGCAGAAACGUACAUGGCUAGGGAAUUCCGUUACAUCGACCGGAGUGCGUAAAAAACCCAAAAUAAAAAAAUCCCGGACCGUGAAAGGAACUGCUGCAUCGUACGUUGAAGCGGCCGCAACCUUCAUAACUAAUGACCUUUGCAUUGCUGUCAUGACCCAACCUUUCGCUGACAUGACGCAAGGUCAAGCUGAAGGUAUUCGGCAAGAAAUAGAAGCGAGGCUUCUGGAUGAGCUUAUGGCAGAGCCUGAUACAUCUCUUGAAACGGAACCAAACGACAUAAGAUUUCGAGGCAGAGCACACUUUUCGGAUGGUGUUCUCAAAGCCUGGUGUGAGGAUGCCUUUACGCUAGCCUGGCUAAAUCGGACCGUCCAAAACAUGGCUUCACCGAUAACUAACACAAAAUUAGUUGUGAAACCACAAUCAGCUAUCCCGAAGAAGAUACCGUGUCUGCUUUUUGUCCCAGGAUACACUGGCGAUUCAGCAGCACUACGAAAACUCCUGGCGCGGCAAAAUCGUAACCUAAAUAUUAACUCCUGGACACUGACACACGAGAAGGUUAGACCGGAUCCACCAGGAAUCUGUCUAUUCUUCCGGGUGACGGAAAUGGAUGCUAAUUUGUUAAAAGCCCAGGAAAGAAGACUGUAUUACCUUUUGGGAAACAUAUAUAUCCGAUUCCUGGAUAAAGAUACUUUACUACAACCCAAUACAAAUCCCACGCAAUACCCGGAGGAAACGCAGGCGUCAAUGCAGAGCGCAGCACCUAAGUCGACAUUAUCGACAAAUGAAGCUGCGAGUGUUAUGGAACACGUGGAAUCCUCGUCUGCGAUAGAGGUGCAAAAUUUGCCUCCUUACAGAUUUAUCUCUGAUGAAGAAUGUUUUCUGGCAGGGGAAGGAGAAUGCGAAACCAACGAUGGUGUCUACUCCUUCCCUCUCCGGGAAGACUAAAAUCAUACAAAAUAACCUCCAGCACUGUCAAUCUGCGACGGUCUCUCUACGCAGAGUGCUGGAAAACAACACACAUACCAUAUCCUUGAUCCAAGAGCCGUGGAUCAGGAAUAUUUAGACAUGUGGUCUUGGAAACAGCGGAAGAAAACUACUCCUGAACACCUCCGGACCUGAUAGUAGUUAGAUUAACUAGGACAGAACAGUAUCUCCGAGAUCGUCCUUGCUUCCGCAUACCUGCCGAGCGACGAGGAUGUACCAACAUCAGAGCCCAACUAACUAGUCGAGUUUUGUGAGCUGGAUCUGAUCAUCGUUAUCGCCUCCAACGCGCAGCGAAUUCUGGGGUAACGGCAAAUCCAACAACAGAGGUGAACAAAAAGGGUAAAAAAUCGACGAUAAAUUAUGACUAUUUAUUGAAAAUAGUUGAAGAACAAAGUCAUUAUGCAUCUACUGAUGUGUUGACGAUAAAUAUCGACGUCGAAGUGUGCACCAGAAACAGACUGCAGCGCCCCCACACAGGAUACGCCAGCACUAGUGCCAAUAGAACGCUUGCUAGAGAAACGAACGCCAGUACAACCAGCACCCAGCGAUCUGGAGUCGACCUGUGUACUGUCAAAUAGGCAAUC